AUCUACCGCUCUAAAGAAGCAGGAGCCCUUCUGAAGAAAAUCCUUGAACCUGGUUCUUCCAGACCUUGGACUGAACUCCUCCAAGAGACGAUCGGCACCAAUAAGAUCGACGCCAGUUCACUCAUGAAAUACUUCGACCCGGUUAUUAGAUGGCUGGAAAAGCAGAAUGUGAACGAGACGUUGGGGUGGCCGGACUUCAUGUGGCUCCCACCUGUACCUGAAGACUACCCAGAAAACAUAGGGGAUUAACCUUUGACAUUAAGGAAUACUGAGUGAUAGGGUGAGGGUUGUGUGUACUAAAGUAGUCCUCAUACUUA